rnacentral:rRNA from 1 species
GACGAACUCUGGCGGCGCGCUUAACACAUGCAAGUCGAACGGAAAGGCCCUGCUUUUGUGGGGUGCUCGAGUGGCGAACGGGUGAGUAACACGUGAGUAACCUGCCCUUGACUUUGGGAUAACUUCAGGAAACUGGGGCUAAUACCGGAUAGGAGCUCCUGCUGCAUGGUGGGGGUUGGAAAGUUUCGGCGGUUGGGGAUGGACUCGCGGCUUAUCAGCUUGUUGGUGGGGUAGUGGCUUACCAAGGCUUUGACGGGUAGCCGGCCUGAGAGGGUGACCGGCCACAUUGGGACUGAGAUACGGCCCAGACUCCUACGGGAGGCAGCAGUGGGGAAUAUUGCACAAUGGGCGGAAGCCUGAUGCAGCAACGCCGCGUGCGGGAUGACGGCCUUCGGGUUGUAAACCGCUUUCGCCUGUGACGAAGCGUGAGUGACGGUAAUGGGUAAAGAAGCACCGGCUAACUACGUGCCAGCAGCCGCGGUGAUACGUAGGGUGCGAGCGUUGUCCGGAUUUAUUGGGCGUAAAGGGCUCGUAGGUGGUUGAUCGCGUCGGAAGUGUAAUCUUGGGGCUUAACCCUGAGCGUGCUUUCGAUACGGGUUGACUUGAGGAAGGUAGGGGAGAAUGGAAUUCCUGGUGGAGCGGUGGAAUGCGCAGAUAUCAGGAGGAACACCAGUGGCGAAGGCGGUUCUCUGGGCCUUUCCUGACGCUGAGGAGCGAAAGCGUGGGGAGCGAACAGGCUUAGAUACCCUGGUAGUCCACGCUGUAAACGGUGGGUACUAGGUGUGGGGUCCAUUCCACGGGUUCCGUGCCGUAGCUAACGCUUUAAGUACCCCGCCUGGGGAGUACGGCCGCAAGGCUAAAACUCAAAGGAAUUGACGGGGCCCCGCACAAGCGGCGGAGCAUGCGGAUUAAUUCGAUGCAACGCGUAGAACCUUACCUGGGUUUGACAUGGAUCGGGAGUGCUCAGAGAUGGGUGUGCCUCUUUUGGGGUCGGUUCACAGGUGGUGCAUGGCUGUCGUCAGCUCGUGUCGUGAGAUGUUGGGUUAAGUCCCGCAACGAGCGCAACCCUUGUUCACUGUUGCCAGCACGUUAUGGUGGGGACUCAGUGGAGACCGCCGGGGUCAACUCGGAGGAAGGUGGGGAUGACGUCAAGUCAUCAUGCCCCUUAUGUCCAGGGCUUCACGCAUGCUACAAUGGCUGGUACAGAGAGUGGCGAGCCUGUGAGGGUGAGCGAAUCUCGGAAAGCCGGUCUCAGUUCGGAUUGGGGUCUGCAACUCGACCUCAUGAAGUCGGAGUCGCUAGUAAUCGCAGAUCAGCAACGCUGCGGUGAAUACGUUCCCGGGGCU